GACGAACGCUGGCGGCGUGCUUAACACAUGCGAGUCGAGCGGUAAGGCCCUUUCGGGGGUACGACGAGCGGCGAACGGGUGAGUAACACGUGGGUGACCUGCCCUCAGCUCUGGGAUAAGCCCGGGAAACUGGGUCUAAUACCGGAUAUGACUCCAUGACGCAUGUUGUGGGGUGGAAAGCCUUGUGCGGCUGAGGAUGGGCCCGCGGCCUAUCAGCUUGUUGGUGGGGUGAUGGCCACCAAGGCGACGACGGGUAGCCGGCCUGAGAGGGCGACCGGCCACACUGGGACUGAGAUACGGCCCAGACUCCUACGGGAGGCAGCAGUGGGGAAUCUUGCGCAAUGGGCGAAAGCCUGACGCAGCGACGCCGCGUGAGGGAUGACGGCC
rnacentral:rRNA from 1 species